CUUCAUCUAUCUCUUCACUCAUGCAUGCCUUGUCAAGUGUUAGCAGUUAGUGAUGCUUAUCCAUGCAUGUGAUACCUUAGAACCAAGCUGCUUCCAAAGAAAUGCAGGCCAGUUAUUCAGGGUAACACUUCCGCCAUCCACAUCAUCUAAAAUAAACGUUAGCUUUUUUUUUCCACCUCACAUUUAUAAUGAUGGUUCAUCAAGGUUGCAGUGGUUCAGUCUGUCCUCCUCUACCCUCGCUCUCGCUCUUGCUACCACCCUCCCACUCACCGGUGCGGAUUAACUGUGCCGUGCAUGGAGGCAAAUUCCAGGAAAUUUGUGCCCAUUUAAUAAUCCACUGUAUAAAGUGGAGAUGAGCCCUGUCUCCCCUUGAAUCUACUGUCUUAUUCACCCGCUGGACAUAAGUGAUACUGUGAUUGGUAAAUAGAUGCAGCUUCCGACAAUACACAAUGAAAACUGUGUUUUUGCUGACACCACAGGCAGCCCAACCGGUUUUGCUCUGAAGGUUUAUCAUAUUUUGCUGAAAGGUCACCUACAGACACAGAGCAGACCUAGCAUUGCACAUAGCACAGCUACAUCACGGAGUAAGUCAGUUCUCCAUUGGUCAACAACACUGUUUGAAUGUUCUCACAUGCCUUGAGGGACCCCCCUCAUAGACAAUCUUGAGGACAGUUAAUAGGAGCCAGUACCCGUUCUGACACAUGCCCCUCUCUCCACGCUGUCAGUAUGUGGGCUGGGUGACUGGGAGAUUUAGAAUUAUGAUGGACAAUGCAACCCUCUUACCAGGUGCUACACGUUGCCAGCUGUCCGGUUGCAUAAUCUGUUUGACGCCGCCGCAACCCAUCAAGCUCACGUAAACAUGAGGACAUGCACAUUCACACAGAGAUGUGACUCUUCUGCUGCCUCCUGGAUGGUUCUUCAGUUCAUCUGUAUUCUCACAGAACAGAGACCACAACAGACACCUCAGAUCUCCUGGUGAAAAUAUAUUUUUUUGUAGAGGAUAAUGUCUUGCUAUGCCAUUUCUGAGGAUAUAGAUGUCAGUCACACAGGAGGAAUUUAAUUUCUAGCUGUGAAUAUGGCCUGUCACAGUGGUGAGAAAGCACUGGCCACCUCUUCAAGGACAACUGAUCACGUGUGUGGUGACGAGCCAGUGACGCGUGAUCGAUGAAGACGGGUGUGGUGGAGUGUGAACAGGACCAAAGAGUGACCAGAUAAGUGUAUGUAGGUAUGUGUAUACCAGUAUUAAUUUUGGCAGCUAUUUUAGAUUUAGUCUUAGUCUUUAGACGAAAAUGCAUAUUAGAUUUAGUCACUUUUAGUCAUUUUUAUCCUGCUUAGUUUUAGUCUAGUUUUCGUCGACGAAAACUCAGAACAUUUUAGUCUAGUUUUAGUCGACGAAGUCUCAUUACAUUUUAGUCU
ensembl:lncRNA